GUUUGUGAAGCACCUUCUAGCAGUUAUCUUAGAGAUGUAAGUUCAUUUACUUGUCCAGCACUAAAAGGCCAAAGGGGCUUGUUUUCUCACCCAAAAGACCUUCCUGAGGCAGCUGUUCGGAUACAUGCAGAGCACAGCGCCCUGCUCAGAAAGGAAGGUUCAGAGAACAAAUUGUCGUUUAAAACUAUUGGGACAAACCUACCUCUUCUAAAGCUUAAAAUGGUCUCCAGCGUACCAGGAUUUGUGAAGGCCUGAAGUUCGUAGAAUGAAAUCUAUGUGGAGAUGAUUUAAAAGAACGGUUUCACUGGUUUGCAUUUCUUUCUUUUCUUUUUAAUUAAAAAAAAACAACAACCCUGGUUUCCUUAGGGAUUCAGGGUGGUGUUAUGCAAAAUCGGAAAGGUACACUUGGAGGAGCUAGCAAGUUUAGCAUAUCAAAGCUAUUAGACCAAUUUGUGCGGUUAAAACUGCCAUUCUCAUUUCUCAACAGCUGUCUCCUCUCUGUCCCUUUUUAGAGACCAACACAUAUAAACCAAGUCUACACAAGAAACAAAGCUAAAAUCCUUUCGAAAUGAGUUCCUUUAAGUUCUUCAGUAACUAAAUCCUCCAGAAAGGAAAGCCGAGAGAAUCUAGUCCUAUACAAUAACACCCUCUAACAAAGAUCGCUAAAGGAAGAUUUUAGUAGAUGAAUAUCUUCAAUAAUACAUGGUCACAUACAUGUAUCUGACCAUAUGAUGGCUCUCUGCACCAAAUUCCUCCAAACUAUUAUAAUAUGUAUUGUCUGUAGUGCUAUUUAUUUGGCAGUUAAUCAUGUAUUACAUUGUGACAUUUCUUACAGUGAACCAUUAUGUAUGUGUUUAUGUUCUGCCCUCAACUACUCAAUGCCAGUACCUUAUUCUUAACACAGCAACCACCCUUUCUGGUCUGUCCUCACACCCUCAUUCCCAUCAUAGUUAUUCUCCUCUCUCAUGGAAAUGUUCAGUUUCUGGACAUCUCCUUUCUCUUCCAUUCUUCACCUGACCUUCCUUCCUUUCUUGGCCAGCCUGAAUAUUAUAAAGGGAAUUUUAUUUCAAACCCAGGAUCGCACUUAAGAGGAAAAGAAACAAAAGCCAGUUCUUUUUAUUGCACAUAGAACAAGGAGAAACUCCACCCCUUUUGUUGUCUGGUAUGUUUAAAACAAGAAAGAACUUUAGAAAAGUAGGAUAUGAGUGAAAAUUACAACCAAUGUUGAGAACUACUUUUUAAUUUUUUAUUACAAAAUUAGGAUGAUACUUCAUUAAACAUUGUACAUCAUUUCAAAACUGUUAUCUCAUAAUCAUGUUGCUUGUUUUGAAUUAUUCUUUUAAAGUGUAAUUUUUUUAAGCAAAGAAUCCAUAAAAUUACAUGGCUUGGAUGUACCAUAACUUACUUAAUCCUUAUGCUAUUGUUUAAUAUGUGGGUUGUUUCAGAUUUUUCAUGAUUGUAAAUAACAAAAUAAACUUCCUUAUACUUAA
rnacentral:lncRNA from 1 species